GCCUACCGGGAGGAGGUGGACGCCCAGCUGGAGAAGGGGAUCGAGGACGGCCUGUGGGAACCGGUCAGACACAGAGCCAACUCCCGUGCGAGAGACGGCUGCGAGUCCGGAGACUCCUGUGACGGAGGCGACGCAGCUGCCGGUCCGGUCGCCCGAGGCUGAGCCGCUCCCGGACGCCCCGGCAGAUCACUCAGCCGGUCACACAAGCUGCACCGAUGGUCUGGGGCGGGCUGGGGCGGCGGGCCCGAGCCCAGUGAGGGCAGCUGUGUCGCCCCGAUAUAGUCUCCGCGACAGGAGUGGUUUACAGAAGCCCAAUCGACUCAUGUAUCGUUGACAGUGUUUGUUGUCGUUUGUUGCUCGUCUGAUCGGUUUGCUUUUGUUAUCCGAGGUGGAGGAAUGUGAUAGGUUCACAUGUAGUUUGGCGGUUGGCGUAGUUUCUACUUGCUGGCCUGUGUACUA